UCUGUCCCCUACUGCGAUCAAGGCGCUGGGCCGUUGGUCGUCUGGCGCAUACGCUUCCUGCAUUUGCCUCACUCCUCAUCACGUCGUUGAAGCAUGCUAUAUCUGGUCACGAUUCCGGCUCUCUACCUACUGUCAUAAUCUAAGUUUUCAGCGCUCUCCUGACCAAGGUGCAUCUAUCAAUCAAAUCAUAACGCUCUGCUGUGUCUCUGCUCUCAGCGCAUCCGCGCCAUGUCUUCUCGCAUAGCCUAAGAUGGUGUCUCCUUGUAAGCGGUAGGUGAGUUCACUUCUAAUCUCUAUUUUGGGGCAGGCUACGCCCGCCUCCAUCUCCGCUGGAGGAUAUGCUGUCCUACCCCGGAGUUCAACGCGAAGACGGGAACCUUCGCCAAACAGAUUCAUGCAUUUUGUAUCAAGUGUAAUUGUUCGCCAAACGGAUUCAUGCAAUUUUGUAUCAUGUCUAUUGUUCAAUAAAUGUUAAUAACGUUCAUUUGCCUCUCGAGUCUUCAUGGUAGAAAUGGGAGCUUGCGUAAAUUCUACCAGGGAGACUCGAAUUUUUCGGCUGUCAAACUUACUAGGCUAACCAUCCAAUCUCUCUUUUGACAGAUCAUACAUGCGUCAUCAUUGCCCAGGGUCGUCAACCAAUCACAACGCGAGAUUCGGGAAUCCCCGUUAUGCAUCACUCAUGCAUCGUUCCCUCUCAGCCAAUGGAUCGCAUUCACGUUUGUUUAAAAAAUCAGUCACUCAUUCUGUUCUCUGCUUUCCAGUUAAGCCGAAUUUGAAGCCACCACCACCCCUCCGUCCACCGUCACCAGUGGUUCCCGUCUGUUAGGGGGCAGGCUACGCCCGCCUCCAUCUACGCUGGAGGAUAUCCUGUCCUACCCCGGAGUUCAACGCGAAGACGGGAACCUUCGCCAAACAGAUUCAUGCAUUUUGUA